GUGGCGUCCAGAGCAUUAACGAGCAGCCGCCGCCUCCUCCUCCGGCUCAUUCACCUCCAUCUGCCUGGAUCUGAUUACCCACAAUCCCUGGAUGUGAGAAGCUUCCUGCCUCGCCUCAAAGUGCCAGCCUGCGAUUUAUAGUCCUCCUUCUUCUUCUUCUUCACACCACAGGCUGCACUGAGAGCUGUGGUGUUUCAGGGGCCAAGGGACGCGCGUGUGCCAGCGUCCAUUGAGAAGCCGAGCACGUAGCGUUAAAGUGAAAGCAGCCGAGAACCUGACGCUGGGGCCGCGAACGGGCAAAGACGGAGGCCUGGAACCCUGGAGCUCAGCUGUGACGGAGGUGACGCGCUGACGAGCUGGAGGCAGAACCCAGCUUCUGUGGUAAACUCACAAACCAACGGUCCUAGAAAAGCUCCACAGAUCAGCCUCCCCAGGAGCAAACUGAGCUGAGGAGGCCUCGCGUGAAGCCACUCUGAGGCUGCGACAGGUUUCUGUGAACAGAACACCGCCGUUGUGCAGCUCCAACCACGACAAUGCGACUGGUUUGUGUUUACGGCCGCUGUGUAAACCGUGGACUGGUUCCUCCCACUGCACAACAUCCUGCCACACAAAAGAGCCUGUGUCCUGCAGACGGACCGAGUGGGACACACCGGAGCUCCGCUUGGGUCCACGUGGGUCCAUCCAGAUCCAUGGAGCAGAAAGCGGGACGUGGCCGCACCACAACAACGCAGGAGUCAGUGCGAAGCACGUUCAGCGUGAUUCAAGUCAGAGUGGCUUAGCUUUAACGAGGCGCCAUGUGCGUCUCGUUAUCCACGCUGCCAGCGAAGCAGCCUGUAAAAUAAUGGCAGCUAAUUGUGAGAAAACUGCAACACGAGUUAAACCGGCCACCUACACCUCAAGCUGCCGCACUAAUGGAAGGUAAAAAUAGGCUUUUGCAGACGGCACGGAAGCAAACGUGUGGUGAAACAAUGGAGUGGAUGUGAAAGUGGUCCGAGGAAGGAUGUGAGGACAUGACGGAACAGGAGCUGCAGCCAGAGGUGAAAAACCUGAACCUCAUCAAAGGGUUUGGGCUCGAAAGGACCACAGAGGUUUAUUCAAAGAGCCAGUUACUCGAUUCGAUUGAAGCUCGACGCUGCAGCAGUGAAGCAAAGGCCACGCACCUGAUGAGCACGCACUGGUUCUGCAGCCUCCUCCACAGCGAGCGGUAGCACUCGUUGGCCACGGCGAAGAUGUGCGGCGCGGCCUCUCCCAGGUGCCGGCGGCUGUACAGCUCCACGGCCGGCCGCUCGUACAGGCCGGGCAGCGGCUGGUAGGGGUUGACGGCCGCCAGGAUGGAGCCGAUGUACGUCUGCGGGCGGGAACACACACGUUACACACUCAUCGUGAAACCGGGCCUCGCGGCCGCCGUCGCGUUCCAGCAGAGGCCGAACAAACGCAGCGGCUGAAACAGAAGCCGGUGGCGGCGGCGGCGGAGGCCUCGCAGCAGCUUCAGAGCUAAUGGCAGCUAAUGCAUGAAUGGGGGCAUCAGCAUGUGGCAGCGACUCCAGCCUGCUGCUCAUAAAGGGAGCAGCAGCGCCGGCUCCGGGUCGUCACCAAAGAGCAGCACGUCUAAUGAAAGGCUUUGGUCUGUAAUGAUAAACACUCUGAACCUGCAGCUUCUCCAGCGUCUCCUGACUCGCUGACCUACAUUCAUGCCACAUGCAAAUCCACGUGAACGGCAGUUGAGGUGACGUCACUUUCAGGCUCCAGACUUUUCUUCCUGUGCAAAUGAGCGUCCACAGAGCAGAACCGGCGUCCGGGCUCGGACCUGUGAACAGCCGGGCUCGUCUCAUGUGAGGGAGUCGAGCCUCCACGGUUUAAACUGUUUACAGAGGCUCCUCAUCCGCCUGCCUCAUUCUAAGUAGUGUUAAUGUGUGGCCUCAUCACUGAGCUCUUGUUUAGUACGUAAUAAACAUGUUAACUGGAA